CCGGGAUUUACAUAGAGGCAGGCCCAGGAGGGAGGGAUUUGUGCAGAAGUGCCCUUUACUAGGAGUAAAAUCCAGCCUUAAAGGCACUGGUCUACGGCUCUGUUCAUAGGGAGCUCUCAAAUACAUGGGCACAGGGCUCCUCUGUUCCCCCAGGAGAUACAGAAAGAAGUGGCACCCCCAGUGCUGUCCCAGCGUGCUCAGAGCUGAGAGGGAAGCUGGCUGAGCCAGGUCUCAGGACUGCAGGAGGCCCUGGGUGUGACAGUGUGAUGUGGACAGGACCUGUAGAGACGGUGCUUAGCUUCUAGCUUUUGGGGCCUCUUGUUCCCGUGUCAAGUGGGGUGCCUUGUUAUGUCAUGGAGGAUAAACUAAGGUCACAAAGAACAUAAAAACUACAUUUCAUCUGGGUUGUGGCUUGGCGGGGGUACCCACAACACAGGGCCUGACCUUUCCAGGCAUUUCUCCAUGAAAUAACACGGCAACGCCUGUUCCCCUUUCCCAGACUCCAGGCUCUGCAGGCCGCCUGCCCGGCCUGGCCUGGUGCUCUCCCUCUCUUCCUAGUAGGUCUUUCCUCCUUUGUUUCUGGUCAGCCCAUUCAGAUGUAGGCAAACAACUGAUUUCCCUCUCACAAGAGAAACUAAAUAUUGUUUUAACAUCAGAUUUGAGCAGAAUCAGAAUCCUUGCAGCCUGUUUUGAAAGUGUGACUGCAAAAGAUAGAAAGGUCCAGGGGAAGCGUUAGCUCGGGGGUCAGGCCUGCUGCGAAAGUGGAGGACGGCAGAGCCCUUCGGGAUCCCAUCAGGAACUCUGGGACUCAGAGCUGGGAUCUGGCAUGGUGAGACCCGGUUGGUGCUGAUUGGUCAGGCCUUUCCUUAAACCUCAGCCUAAAAGAAAUUGUCCGUUAAAAUAGGAAAUUUCGCAAAGGGUGUUAUCCUGCCCUGAAACCUGCUUCCUGCCUGCAUCUUCCGCCAUGGCCUCUUCUCUCCAGUCUCGUCCUCCUCAGAGCCCUGCUCAGGGUGCCCUGGCCACCCACUCACCCACCUCUGUUCAGCCUGUGCAGAAGGAAGGAGCUGUUAAUUCCCCUCCUCCUACUGCCUCCCGCCCUGCUUGGGAUGGGUCCCUUGGAGAACAGGGACCCCACCCUUAGAACACCCCCCUCACUACAUUCAUCUGGAAAUGGUGAUAUAAGCCUCAAGCAUCACUUUUUGUGAAUCUUUGCCUGAUUUACUCUCGUCAUCUCCUAUCUUCGGGAAAUCGUACACCAAUCCCUGGGAAAGGAAAGGCCGGAAGGGUCAGGGUGAGUCUGCUUCUCUGUUUAGUUUGUCUGUGACUCUCCAGGGCCCAGGGCGCAGCCAUAUGAGCAUGAAACCAAAGCAGAGAGCCCACCAGCCCAGCAGUGAGCCGUGCCCAGGCCUGUGUGCCACCGUGGAGACUUGGGUCUCUGUGGAGCCCGUCUCAAGGAGCAGCCCGUCUCAAGGAGCAGCCCCCCCCCCCCCGGCUUGGCUGCUGGAAGGAGCAGAGCCCUGGCUCGGAGGGAAUGCCAUAGUCUCUCUCCAGGGUGCAAAGAUCCCGAGACCAUCACAAAGUCAGCCACUUGCCGGAGGCACACGUAAACCCCAGGUGACCAAGCAGGUGGCUUCUGGGGGCCAGGAUGCUUCUUUACAGACCCAGAAGGGCAGGUGAGAGAGGCAGAUGGAGGCCAGGGAUGGGGAAGGAAAUGACAUAAUGGGGCUCCUGGAUUUGGAGGAGCAUUUUCCCAAUUCUGUAACCCCUCAGGGUCCACCUCACACUCUUUGUGACCGCCAUGACUGCCACGGAGAGGGAAGUUGGCGGUGACAGAGCAGUCCCUGUCUUGCCUGGGGUGGCAGCCAUGUGUCUGAGUUCACAGCACUGUACACUGACAAAGAGUGAGUUUUCCCACAGGUAGUUACAGCCCUGUGGGGAUGGAUAGCAGGGACCACAGCACUGCAGAGUGGCUGAGGAAAGACGCAUUUAAACCACAAACACAUGCAGGUGUCAGGGGCCAUCAGUGUAGGAAGCCCCUCUCCAUUAGAUGCCUUGCCUGGCAGGGAACCCUGCCUUUCAGUCCAUACAGAGUGAGCAGAAAAGCAACAUGGUUCCACCAGCCUCUGCCUGGAAAGGGGAGACAGGCACCAAUUUCAUAAGACCCAAGAGCUCACAAUGGGUCCUCUUGCCAGGUGGACCUGAGCUCCUCAUUAGAGCCUGUCAUUGCCGCCUCAUGGCUCUUGGGACAAAGUCCUAAAUCCUUAAUGUGCUGCUGGACAAACUCCUCCCACUCGGUGAUCACCAGCACCUCAGGGGAUGAGUGUCACCAGCUCCUGUCCAGGCUGCUCCAGCCCAUGCUGCCCACCCCAGACCCUUUGCACACACUGUUCUCUUUGCUUGGGGCCCUUCCUGUCCUCUUGCCCAUUCCCUCUUCCCCUAGAGGGUUCCCCUGUGUCCGUUGCACGAUGUCAUCACCAACAGUCUUCCCUGAGAUGCCUGCUGCCAGGCCAGGGCAAGGUCUUGAUUACACCAUCUCAUGGAAGCGAGGUUCCUCUCCUGUGGAGGUCUUGCUCCAGUGUAGAUUGGAAUUCCACCCUUUUGAGAUUACUAAUGAAUACCUCUCUUUGCGACUAACUCCAGGCCCCCCCUGACUGUGCAGGCUCCCGUAGUUGCCUGUCCCCGUGUCCCCACCUGCAUGUAGCCCCAAGCAGAGUCUUCAGGUGGGGGUGACUACCCGGAGAGUUGUCUCGGUGGCAGGGGUCUCAGGAUUGUGGUGUGGUGCUGGUAUUGUGAUCUACUUAGGAUAAGAGUGAAACAAGGGCUCAGUGUCACAACCUACAGCUGAUCAAUUUGCUGGAGUCUGUGUCCGGUUCCUGGGGCAGCCUGGCCCAAAUACAUUGCCUUUGGUGUCUUCUUUACAUCCACCUGGAGGCCCUAAGGCUGGCAGGGUGGUUCUGAUGGAAGUAAAACCCACAAAUGGAUGCAGCCAGAUGGGCAGGAACCCUGAGGGCGCCAGCUGGUCAUGCCCUUCCGUCCUCCCCAUCAUCAGGAAAUCUGCACUCCUGGCUUGUCCCCAUGCAGUAAAUUGAGGCCAUUUAAAGGACAAAGCAAGACUAACAUCAAAGUGUGCCUCACUGUGACUUCCCAGGCCCUAUAGUGUGUGAGCGGCUUGUAGGACCCAGCCUGUGUGGGACUUGAUGUGACCAGCUGCUGUGGAGCCCUCAGGUUGACGGCCACCAGCUCAAGCUGUAGGACUGUGGCCAGUCAAGACACAUGUGGGGGACGAAGCCCAAGUAUUUCGCUGCCACUGCCACUGCUGAGUGGAGUAUCCCAGCCUCUAGAGUUGAGUGGGCCCUCGCCUGCUGUGAUUUAUUACUUACUGAUUUAUUACUUAUGUAUGGCUCCAGGGCAAGGGGCAGUGUGAAUACUCAAAUGAUUGAAUGCUCAUGUUUUGCCAGUGACUGAACAGUGCUAAGGGGAGGAAUGGAGUGGUGCUGUCCAUCUAGGGUCUUUAAAAGUAGACCAGAAAGACAGAGUUCGUGACUCGGGAAGAACUCCACACUCAGGACCUCCACAUGUGCAUAUUUACAGUGGAAACCUGAGGCCUGGGGACAGGCUAACACCAAGGUCCUUGGCCACUAGUGACUUCUUGCCGUCACUUGAAGCUGCCUCUCCAUCAUCACCCUGAGGUCACCAGGCUGCAGGCUGGAACAGAGUGCAGCAACUCUCUGGGACAUGAAGGGUAGAUGUGGUCAAGGCUCCAGGGCUGUGCCCUAGGGGUCACCAGGAUGGGAAUUCAGGCCUACCCCAGCUUCUGCUGUGACCCUGCAUGUCCUCACGCCAGAGCUGGGCACUAGGAAAUGAAGACUUUGAAGAACUGUGGUUCUACCAGGCUCAUGGACAUGAGAGCUGAUUCACCCGGGAUGCUCAGGAUGACUGGGGCGUGUGCUGACAGGUCAGGGACAGCAAGUUUGGGUUUGUGAGUGUGCAUAGGUGUGCACAUGUGUGUGCAUGGCAUUUGUGCCUUUGUUAGGAACUUGUACCCACAAGCCAUGUGGCCAGUGUGCGGCUAGGACUUGGCUCCACAGUUCUCUCUGGGAGGUCUAGGCCCCAGUGACCUGCAUGCCCUCGCCCUCAGGGACACCGGACUCAACGUUGCUUAUGGCUCUUGGCCCUUUAGCUGGCGGUGCUUUCUGGGGAAAGUGUUCUACAGUGAUGCUGGAACCCAUGCCACCGCCCGAGAUGACACAGAGCUAUCAGGUAGGGGUAUUUUCUCUUGAAGACCCCAGGACUGGGCCAGAGAAACCCAGUGGUGACUUUGGCUGUGCCAGGCCAGGUGAGUCCCUGUGUGGUACGUGUUCCUCUUAUUGGAGGCCACUGUGAACCCCUCAGUUCCUGCUGUCAGGGGAGAGCAGAGGUCACACUGCCCAGGCGAGCUGCUUGUCCCUGCAGGGAAGGUGGGCUUUGUUAGGGAAACAUUGAGGCCUCCGUGUACAGCGCCUGUACUUUUGUCCCUGCCAGCUAGGGUUUUACUACCUGUUGAUAUUUCAGAGUCUCAGUGACAGAGCUUCUUCCCCUCCAUCCAGCUCUCUUUUCUACCCUCCCACUCCAGCCACAGCAUAAACUGGGCUUUUAAAAAGUUCUCCAGUUCUGCCAGGAAACUUAAUGAGGCUUACAGGGGCUUUAAUGAGGUCUCAAGUUACUCAAGGACAGAGAAACUGCCUCACAGGAGCUUGAGGGGAGUUUAUUCUUUGCUUCUUCAUGGCUGACUGGAUCACGCAUGGCCACAAAUCCCUCCUCAGCCUCCACACUUCUCUUCCACCCACAGAGAGCCUGCUACUGGUCCAGCAACUGGCAACUUGUGACUGUAGGGGAUGUCAGGCCUGGGGAUGGCAAUACAAGCGUCCUCACAUAGCAACCAGAGCAGGGAUGGGUGCCAGGAGUGCUCUCGGGUUGCUCCCCACUGCCCAGCUCACCCCUGACCAGGAAAGGGCCUCAGAGAGCAAGGGUGUGCCUGUCCCCUGGCCUAAGUCCUCUCCCACACCAUCCCAGUAAUGUCACACCCUGUUCCUCUCUGCCACCUCCUGCAUCAGAGGAUCUAGAAGGAAGGAUGAGAGCCCUUGCCCAGUCCCCAGGGGGAGCCCUAUCCCCAGGGGCAUCUUCUGACAGCCAGCAUCUUGGGGGAGGGAACAGAGAGAAGCCCUUGUUCUCUGAGGACACAUGUGCUGGUGGGUGGAAGGAAGGAAGGGCUUGGCGGGACCAGAGGGAGGAGGCUGUUCCCAGGUGAGUGUCCGGCAGGUGCAGCCCUUGUGCUUCAGGGAGGGGGAGCCCCAGGGGGUGGACCAGGCUGGGGGAGGUGAACAGAGUCUUCGGAAAGUGGUGGUCUUGGUCAGGGGACUUGUGUGUGACUGGGUUCCACUGGCUCAGUCUCCUGCUGGCCGGGGAGCUAGGCACUUGCAUGCCGCACCCCCUCUGCUCUUGUGGCUCCUGGUGAGGUAGUGCAGGGGCUCCUCCUCCUCAUGCCAUCCAGCCAGCAGUGUAGAGAGAAGACUCGCUGGAAGGAAUGGCAGAAAUUGUUGGAGAGGAAGCUGCAGAGAUGGGUUGGCGCAGCUGUUGGUGUAGCUGAGGAUGAGGGACACGUGGCUGACAGUGACUUUGAGGCUGGUGACAAACAGAUUCAGGAAUUGCUCCACCUGACACAGCAUCCAGCAGAACACAGGGAUGCCCACCUUGGUGAGCACAAGAAUGGUGAUCUUCUCUGAGGCUUUUGUGCUGCUGCCAGCCGGCCCUAGGGCCACUUGCCUGAAAGAAGCAAGUAGUGCAGACCAAUGUCCAGUGUGAUUGCAGGAAGCCUACCAGGAAUGUGUGGAUCAUGGAGACCUUGACUCUGCCACAAGCAGCCAGGCCAGGAAAGGUACCAAGCGGGAAGGGGCUCCCCGCCCACCACCAGGCUCGACAGGUACUGAAUAAAAAGUGCUGCAAGCUAGGGGGCUUUUGUCUUUGCUGCCCAGAGCCGCACUGAUCAGACCCAAAGCUCAGCUUCUUCUCAGUCUCAUUUUUCUACCUUUCCUGCACUUAGCCGUGUGCUGCUGUGGCUCGCAGGAGACUAGGACUUACUGCAGAGGUUCUGGUAACGUCCCCUUCCCCUGUUCCCUACACCCUGCCCACCAGGCCUGCUGGGCAUACAUGAGAUGCUGUUGCAGGUGGCCGUGGUCCCCAGGCCGUCUCCACCUGGGGGUGGUCCUGGC
rnacentral:lncRNA from 1 species